AUUGAACGCUGGCGGCAGGCCUAACACAUGCAAGUCGAGCGGCUGCACGGUAAUUGCUCCUUCAUUCGGCUGCCGACGGGUGGAUGGGGGCUAGAAAUCUGGCUAUUUACGGUGGCUUGGGGCCGGACGCAGGCACUAAUACGCCAUUACUCCUUACGGCGUAAGGGUGAAAUCUUCGGACCUUCCGCUCUCAGAUGAGCCUAGGUCGGAUUAGCUAGUUGGUGGGGUAAAGGCCUACCAAGGCGACGAUCCGUAACUGGUCUGAGAGGAUGAUCAGUCACACUGGAACUGAGACACGGUCCAGACUCCUACGGGAGGCAGCAGUGGGGAAUAUUGGACAAUGGGCGAAAGCCUGAUCCAGCCAUGCCGCGUGGGUGAAGAAGGUCUUCGGAUUGUAAAGCACUUUAGGUUGGGAGGAAGGGCAGUAAGUUAAUACCCCGCUGUUUUGACGUUACCAACAGAAUAAGCACCGGCUAACUUCGUG
rnacentral:rRNA from 1 species